GAAGCAGGUGUGGAGAGGCUGCGGAGAGGCCCUGGGACCAGAGCCCGAUGACGACAGUGCAGAUGCUCCACAAAGGGCGACACUGGACUUUCUGCCACAUGAUACAAUUGUGAAAAACUACAUCCAUGUGUUGAAGAGGGUCACUGCUACAGGGCUCUAAUUUAGAUCCACUGCCAUUUUUAUGCAAGAUUUCAGAUCCUACCUCCACCCCAACAAGGAGACGUGAUACUACCAUGGGAGGUGCUGUUGUCCAGGUCGGCCUGUGAGAUGCAGGUGAAGCUCCAGAUUCCUGCAGACCUUCCUCACACCCCC